AGAACCUAGCAUUUACCGUCUCAAAAAUAGUUCGUGAUGUGGGAUCAUAAAACUUAAAACCCUUGGAUUUUUCAGAAUAUCCAACAAAAUAGCUACUAAGCUUCUUAGCGUCCAGUUUCUUUUCAACGGCCUAUAAGGCCUUGCCUCAGCUGGACAACCCCAAAUGUGAAAAUGCCGAAUACCGGGUUUAUGCCCAGUCCAAAGUUCAUAUGGGGUUUUUAGNN
rnacentral:lncRNA from 1 species